rnacentral:rRNA from 1 species
UACGUAGGGGGCUAGCGUUGUCCGGAAUCAUUGGGCGUAAAGCGCGCGUAGGCGGCCCGGUAAGUCCGCUGUGAAAGUCAAAGGCUCAACCUUUGAAAGCCGGUGGAUACUGCCGGGCUAGAGUCCGGAAGAGGCGAGUGGAAUUCCUGGUGUAGCGGUGAAAUGCGCAGAUAUCAGGAAGAACACCCGUGGCGAAGGCGGCUCUCUGGGACGGUACUGACGCUGAGACGCGAAAGCGUGGGGAGCGAACAGG